UUCAUAAACAUAAACGCUGGUUUGCAGGCAACGUUGUAUAAUGUUGUAUGUAUUGUGUAAUAUUGUAAGACCGCUAGCAUCUUGCUCUGCUCCCAACUAGCUUAGCUUACCCGUCUCAUCGUCUUCAUUUGGCGUUUCACUGUCACUAGUUUUUAUUAAAAAGUUGCUCAAUUUAGAUCAUCUGGCCGCAUCCCUUCCUAGAGCUCUCCUUUUUAAAAUGUCGCCUUUUCAGUGCUGUUUUGCGGUUUCUAUUAUCAGUUUUUACAGCUUAUUUUUGCUCCCGGUCACUGAAGUGUACAAGGUGAUGCCUCACAGGAUUUAAAACCAAACUACGUCAUCGUUAACCAGGCUGCACUCUGCGAGUGGGCUGCAUGAAUGUAGAGAACGGAAGGCUGCAAGAAAACAUAAAUACUGUAGAUACAAAGAGUAGACUGCGAGUGCAGGCCGCCUAGGGACAGCAUCCAUGAUUUCAACUAUGAUUUCAACCCAGUACCAUGACUAACCACCGCUGGCCCUCGCAAGCAAAGAAGCAGACCGGCCCACCGGGUGCUCCCGAUUAGCCAACCCUGCCUGCUGUUUAGUCAUUUCUGCAGCUGUGGUGUUGAAUGCAGAAUUUAGGCUCUAAUUUACAUCUGUGGUCCCUGGGCAAGGGAGAUAAAAGGACAAUAUAGACAAUACUAUCAAAACAGA